UUGAUCGCUUCAGCAGUACAUACACUAAAAUUGGAACCAUACAGAGAAGAUUAGCAUGGACCCUGCACAAAGAUGAUAUGCAAAUUCGUGAAGCUUUCCAUAUUUUU
rnacentral:snRNA from 1 species